rnacentral:rRNA from 1 species
GAUGAACGCUGGCGGCGUGCCUAAUACAUGCAAGUCGAGCGAAGCGGGGACGGGUGAGUAACACGUGGAUAACCUCCUCUAAGACUGGGGUAACUUCGGGAAACCGGAGCUAAAACGGACACUUAUAGAUGGAUCCGGGAGGCAUUAGCUAGUUGGUAAGGUAACGGCUUACCAAGGCAACGAUGCAUAGCCGACCUGAGAGGGUGAUCGGCCACACUGGAACUGAGACACGGUCCAGACUCCUACGGGAGGCAGCAGUAGGGAAUCUUGCGCAAUGGGCGAAAGCCUGACGGAGCAACGCCGCGUGAGUGAUGAAGGUCUUCGGGUCGUAAAGCUCUGUUAUCAGGGAAGCGUUACCCAAUCAGAAAGCCACGGCUAACUACGUGCCAGCAGCCGCGGUAAUUC